rnacentral:lncRNA from 1 species
AACUUUCCACGGAGAUGUUCCCUGGACCCCAGUCUGAGCCUCACAUUAUACACAUUUGGAGUACACUUGCAUCCAGAAUCAAAGAAGAGACAAACCCAGCACACAAAUACAUGGAAAAGGAAAGAUUUCAAGAAUAUUCAGAGCUAAAGGCAAAAGGUUGCAAACGAGUGAGUCUAAAACGAAGUAAAAAUUUUCAUAUUGUGGAAUCUCUAUAACCAAUUUUGAUUGACACUAUUUUAAUUGGAGGAACAUUGGCAAAUUGUUCUAAAUGAUUUUACCUACAUCAUCAGCUUCUCCCUCCCUUUAAUGAGAAAUAAGUCAUCCUCUGUUUAUAGUUUAAACUUAGUUUAAAUUUUCCUAGAGGCUUUAAAACAGAUGGUAGCAUCUGCUUAAAGCUGAUAUGGUUAUUAAAGUACAGAAGUACCUAACCACUGAAGUUUUAAUUCAGUCAAUAUCAAUCCUUCAUGUAUCAAAAAAAAAAUGCUUGAAAGUUAUUUGUAUGCUAUGAAAAUUUAAAUAACAUAGAAGUAUAAAAAAGAAAGAUAAAAGCUGACAAUGCAAGCUUUCUUUAACAAGACCAAAAAUUUUUGACUUCAUUUGAUUCACUAAUAUAGAUACAUUUCCUCCCAAACUUCAAGAAAUUUUCUUUUCAGCGAUUUUUUUUUCUCUCCUGUUUUCUUUUUCUUUACCACAGAAUUGCCUGCCAUUGGUACUUUAUGUCGUUCUCUGACUUACUUUUAGCAAUAUGACUGAAGGUUCUGUCAAAACUAGCUGUUCACCUGUAGGUUUAUGUAUAUCCCUUAAGCUCUGCAAACUAAAGAUCCAGAGAAGAAAACCCGUUAUUCAUUAGUCCACCUUACUUUAUUAUUAGGUAUAUGUGAUAGAUUAUUUUAUGUGUUAAUUUGAUUGGGCCAUGGCAUCUAGACAUUUGGUCAAAUACAGUCUGAAGGCAUUUUUUUUGUUUGUUUGUUUUUGUUUUUUGUUUGUUUUUUGUUUUGUUUUGUUUUUUUAACAUGAGAUUGGCAUUUAAAUCAACCAACUUUCAGUAAACCCUCCAUAAUGUGAAUAGGCCUUAUCCAAUCAGUUGAAAGCCUUAACAGAGAACAGAUUGAGAUCCCCUAAGGAAGAGAGAAUUCUGCUUCCAGAUUGCCCUUGGAAUCAAGCUACAUCAACUUUUCCUUGCAUCACUAGCCUGCCAGCCCACCUGGCAGAUUUUGGACUAGUUAGCCUUUACAAUCAUGUUAGCCAAUUCCUUAAAAUAAAUUUUUCUCUCUGUAUGUAUACAUACCCUGUUGGUUCUGUUUCUCUGGAGAAGUCUGAAUAAUACAGGACAGCUAGAGUCAUACUGCCAAUUUAAAGACCAAAUCUGGAGAUGUAGGAAAUUUUUCUAAAGAAGAGUAUGUGUCAGUGUCACAGUUUAAACUUAGGCCUCUUUUCAGCAUUGUCUCUGGAGGAUAGUUAUUCAGAUAAUACUACAUUUGAAGAGAAUUUAGUUCCUUUCCUCCUGGCUUCUAAGUUAGUUUUAUUUUAUGGUUUCUGUAGUUAACGUGAGUGAAUUGCAAUGCCCUAUCAAAAGCCCUGUUUAUACAGGAUCAGAAAUAGCUAGAGUAAAUAUCCCUUCACUUAUUUAAGUGGUUCAGGGUAAAAGAAUUGAGUCAUUGCGUUUCCAUGCUGUUUUCCCAUUCACUUUACUAAAAGUGGAAAGUUGGAGGCCCUGUAAAGAACCAGGCCUCAGAGCUAAGGAAAGUGCAUUCAAUUAUACUGUAAGUUGAGUAUCCCAAAGAGUAAACUAAUUUACUUUCCCUUAUUUUAGAUACACCUCCCUAGUGUCUAUAAUCCUUUACUUUUUAUUAAUACUUUACUAAAUUAUCAAAAGAUUCUAGAUAUCUAGUACUGUUUAAAGGCAACUCAAAGCUUGAAGCUAUAAAAAGUUUAAAGUCUUAAAAAAUUAAAAUUUUGAUUUAUUCUGAUUUUUAAAGUACAUGGUUGUUUUUGUACAAUAAUGGAAAAAUUAAAUUCGCAUACAACAGUGGAAUAUUUUGGAGAAAAAUGUGAUUGCUGAACCAUCCUUUUUGCCUGACAACAAAAUCUUCCCGUUCCUCACAACUUCUACCUAGACUCAACUUCACAUGGCACUAAAAUUAAAAUUGCUUUUUCUGGGUAUUUCUAAGAACUUACUAAACAUGUGGUUUCCUAAGCUCAUGCUGCUUUUUUUUUUUUUCCUCUCUUUUUAAAAGAUUUUAUCUAUUCAUUCAUGAGAGACACAGAGAGAGAGGCAGAGACACAGGCAGAGAGAGAAGCAGGCUCCAUGCAGGGAGCCCGAUGUGGGACUCAAUGCCAGGACCAGGAUCACUCCCUGAACCAAAGGCAGACGCUCAACCACUGAGCCACCGAGGUGUCCCCUAAGCUCAAACUGCUUGAUGCCUUUACCCCAAACAUGUAUCUCCCACAACCUGAUUACCACCUCUCAAGCAUGUUUUAUAAAUGAAAGAGCCACAAAGAGAUGGUUCUCUGCUGGACUCUAGAACCAUAGUACACACACUUGUUUUCAAGUCGAAGGAUAUUUCUUCACAGGAUGUUGAGAGAAUGGUAUCCAUGUACUCGCUAACUCUUGCUGGUGAGUGACAGCCUAAUUCUUUCAUAUGAAACUUGUCGAUGGUAUUCAUAGGCAACACGCAGUGACUGCUCCUAUGAAGCGGAGUCUAUGCCAUUGUAUGGAUGGCUGAAGGAAUUGAACGGGCCCCCAUGAUAAUUUGUUCAGAAAAGCCAGGAAUGAGAUGGGUACAUUGUCAGUGGGUGAUUAAUGCUUAUUGAGAGGACAGGUUAGUGAAAAUUAACAGUUCUUGUGGUUAGGUGGCUGGAUUAUAUAGACUACAGGUUACCAUUAGCAGAUACAGAGUUCACAGAACCAAGGGCCAAAAAGCUCAAAGUUAGAUGGUCAUUUUUCAGCUAGGUGACUGUAGAGUUCAUGAUCACUGAUGCCUGAAAAUCUGAAAACUGGAGAGGUACAGAAUGAGGAUUGUUAAUAAUUCAUCUAGUUAAUCAAAUGGGAGAAGGGAGGGGACAAACCACUAUUUGCUAUCUUUCUUUAUAUUUCUUUUAGCCAUUCCAGUGAGCCAUCUCAUCGUGGUUUUGAUUUGCAUUUUCUUUAAGACCAGUGAUGUUAAAUCUUUUUAUGUACUUUUUGGUCUUUUGUCUAUCUUCUUUGGGAAAUGUCUAUUCAAGUUUUUUGUACAUUUUUAAUUUGGGUUGUCAUUUUGUUGAUAAGAUAUAAUACUUUAUAACUUCUUUAUGCUAUAUUUUUACCAGAUACAUAGUUUAUAAGUAUUUUACCAUUCUCUGGGUUCUUUCCUGUUUCUUGAUAAUAAUCUUUGAUGCACAAAAAUUGUAAUUUUUU